rnacentral:rRNA from 1 species
ACUGCUCAGUAACACGUGGACAACCUACCCUAAGGAGGGGGAUAACCCCGGGAAACUGGGGAUAAUACCCCAUAGAUUAUGGAUGCUGGAAUGCUCUGUAGUUGAAAGGUCCGCCGCCUUAGGAUGGGUCUGCGGCCGAUUAGGUUGUUGUUGGGGUAACGGCCCAACAAGCCUGUAAUCGGUACGGGUUGUGGGAGCAAGAGCCCGGAGAUGGAUUCUGAGACACGAAUCCAGGCCCUACGGGGCGCAGCAGGCGCGAAAACUUUACAAUGCGAGAAAUCGUGAUAAGGGAACUCUGAGUGCCCGUAAAAUCGGGCUGUCCAUCAGUUUAAAUAACUGGUGAAGAGAGGGCCGGGCAAGACCGGUGCCAGCAGCCGCGGUAAU